rnacentral:lncRNA from 1 species
GGGGUUUUGUUGUUGUUGUGUGUGUGUGUUUGUAUGGGAGAUUGAACCCAGGGGUGCUUAACCAUUGAGCCAUGGAGCCAUUUUUUUUUUUUAUUUUUGAGACAGGGUCUCACUGAGUUGCUUAGGGUCUCAUUAAUUGCUGAGGCUGGCUUUGAACUCAAAAUCCUCCUGCUUGAGCCUCCCCAGUCACUGGAAUUAUAGGCGUGCACCACUAUGCCUAAGGAAUCGAACUAACUGCUUAUGUGACAAAGACUAUGAACAAGAACAUUCUCUGGACCCACCCAGCCUGGGUCCAAACGUGUGGGACUUUCCACUUGUGGGGGACUAGUCUAGUCUGCAGUUCUUUAUUCAGCCACAUGGGGUCACUGUCUCAUCAUUCCAGCCAGAAGUCUGGGUCGCACACCCUAGUGCAAAAAUUGGUCAGUGGGUCCUUGUGAAUUGAUGGCAGAAAACAAAGUGGGGAUCUCGGUUAAGUUGAGUUCUAGAUUUUUCACUUGGAUGGACUGGAUAAGAAUUAGGUUAACAUUAUUUUUACUUGUUUUUUUAAAGAUUGAGUGUGGAGAGUAAUGCAGUCAGAAGGGAUAACUUCAUCCUGUUUGGCUAACACCAAGAUCACAAUGGAGCACAGCCCUGAGAAACAUCUGUGUAUUAAGCAAAUGCUUAGUCAUGGCUAUGUUUAUGCUCCUCUCUCACUUCCAAGCAGCUGGAUAUUUUUACUUGAAGGUUAUCAUUAAAAAAGUGCAUAAAUUAUAGCUACCAUUUAUCUAGUACUUACUGUAUGCUAACUGCUUUACAUACAUAUAUAUGUAAUUCUCUCAAUACCUAGGCAUUAUUAUCCACUUAUUUCAGAUGGGGAAACUGAGACUCAGAGAGAUUAAGUAAUGUCCUAUGCCUCACACAGUACUUGAUACUGGCUCUUCAGUGGAUUUCUGGGUAAUUAGAGAACAUGGUAAUACUUACCUGGCAGAGGAGAUCUCAUGAUCAUGAAGGUGGUAUUUCCAGGGUGAGACCUAUCCAUUGUACUCUGGAUGUGCUGACUCCUGUAAUUUCCUCAAAAGUGGGAAACCUGACUACAUAAUUUGUGGUAGUGGGGUGUUAUGUUGGUACUCCCCACCUCCUCACCACACACACACACAAAAAAAAUGUAGCCAGGCAUGGUGGCACAUGCCUGUAAUACAGUGACUUGGGAAGCAAGAGGAUCACAAAUUCAAAGCCUGCCUCAGCAACUUAGCUAGACCCUAAGCAACUUCACAAGACCCUG